CUUUACAGAGUUCCAGAAGGAGAAAGUCUCAUUUCUGCACAGCUCAGCCACCUGCAAGUUUUCGGGACAGAAGAUCUGUGAUUUUUGCUAUUUUACCCCUCACGUCCAAUCUUACAGAUGUAAAUAGGGCAGGUUUCCAGGACUCUUUCUUUGCAGAAGAUGAGCCUUCAAAAUGAAAUCGGUUUGACAACUUACAUAGUAGCGCAACCUUUUUACGGAGGGUGUCCCUGCUGUGUCUUACUACCAGUUAGCCAUAAAAUAGAAG